UGGGGAAUAUUGGACAAUGGGCGCAAGCCUGAUCCAGCCAUGCCGCGUGUGUGAAGAAGGCCUUUUGGUUGUAAAGCACUUUAAGCGAGGAGGAGGCUACUUGGAUUAAUACUCUAAGAUAGUGGACGUUACUCGCAGAAUAAGCACCGGCUAACUCUGUGCCAGCAGCCGCGGUAAUACAGAGGGUGCGAGCGUUAAUCGGAUUUACUGGGCGUAAAGCGUGCGUAGGCGGCUUCUUAAGUCGGAUGUGAAAUCCCUGAGCUUAACUUAGGAAUUGCAUUCGAUACUGGGAAGCUAGAGUAUGGGAGAGGAUGGUAGAAUUCCAGGUGUAGCGGUGAAAUGCGUAGAGAUCUGGAGGAAUACCGAUGGCGAAGGCAGCCAUCUGGCCUAAUACUGACGCGGAGGUACGAAAGCAUGGGGAGCAAACAGG
rnacentral:rRNA from 1 species